rnacentral:lncRNA from 7 species
GCACACUCCCCUGCAAACCACCCGCAGAUCACUCUGGAGCCGAAAAGCCCAGUCGCAGAGACUGCAAAGAAAAAUGAAAAGCCCCACAUUCGAAACUCAGGAACAGACGAUGUACGUGCCUCCCGGUGAAACUCAUUCAUUAAGAAGCAAAAGCUAGGAGACAUAAACGUGAGAUGCUUGCAGCCUGCUGAUGGACGUUUUGCAGUAGGGAGAAUGCUGGAUCACUAAUCAUUCCCUUGGCAUAUCAGCAAUGCACAUGCCACCCAACGGGAAGGGUGGGCAGAUUUCUGCCUGGCUGAGUGCAGCGGUGCUGCUCGCAGCCCCUGAGCCCCAGCAGUGAUUUCGCGACCCGCGGGAAGCGCUGCUAGCUCGUACCUCUGGCCUGCCACUGAAUGGAUUGCCAGCAUGAGGCAUGGAGCCUCUGGGAGCUGUGCGGGAGGUGAAUGCGAAAGCAAGCACAGAAGAAAGUCAGGCUCCUGCAGACUUCAACAGGCACGCUUCCCUUCCCACAGAAGAAAAAGCUGUUACUACGUAGAGGCAACGUUAGAAAAAUCACACAGAGCACAAAGGGAAGUCUACCUCUGGGUUUUUAGGUAAGCUGAGGGGAAUCCCUGCAGCCUUUUCCCCUCCUUUACUUUUUCUUUUCUAAUACUAGUGCCGCAGAGGACUGCGUCUGUGUGCAUGAAAUCAGUGCUGCUCUUUAAAUACUUUUCUCCCCCCAACGCCGCUCCAGUUCCUGGUUCAGUUUUGAAUGGAGAUCUUAAGCGAAAGCAGCAAAACACCAACUGGCUGGAAAAUUGGCCAUGAAGGAGCGCAGUUAUUAGGAACCAGAUGCUUCAGCCGAGAGGAAGCAGGAUACGGGAGGCCUUCCAAAAGUGGGUUACCAAGGGGCCUUAGAGACGGACAAGCACCAAAAGCAUCAGUUAUCCACUUGAGCAUUCGCAUGUGUUUGCUUAGGGCUUUGAGUGGCCUGCAACCACAAGACUGGGAUUUGGGUUCCUCUGUGCAGCCUCUGAGAUUUCCACACAUUGCUGAGCUGCUUUUCUCCAGGUCUUGGGAGUGUCAAGACUAGAGAAGCAAGUUGUCACUGGGUGAUCAUUCAUACCAGACACAUCCCCCAGUGUGCUCGAGGGUUGCAUAUGCCUAUGCUGCGUCUGUGGGUAACCGUGGAACUUCACAUACAAGCAGAACCACCUGGCUCCUUUCAAAAGACAAAUAGCACAUCAAAGCAGAUUUUUAUCAUCAUUGUUACACUCUCCGGCCCCCCUGCGAGAGGAUUUUCAUGCUGUCAUUUCAGGGAUGAAAUAAAUUUUUUUGGG